rnacentral:rRNA from 1 species
AUUGAACGCUGGCGGCAGGCUUAACACAUGCAAGUCGAGCGGGGGAGGUUGCUUCGGUAACUGACCUAGCGGCGGACGGGUGAGUAAUGCUUAGGAAUCUGCCUAUUAGUGGGGGACAACAUUCCGAAAGGGAUGCUAAUACCGCAUACGCCCUACGGGGGAAAGCAGGGGAUCUUCGGACCUGGCGCUAAUAGAUGAGCCUAAGUCGGAUUAGCUAGUUGGUGGGGUAAAGGCCUACCAAGGCGACGAUCUGUAGCGGGUCUGAGAGGAUGAUCCGCCACACUGGGACUGAGACACGGCCCAGACUCCUACGGGAGGCAGCAGUGGGGAAUAUUGGACAGUGGGCGGAAGCCUGAUCCAGCCAUGCCGCGUGUGUGAAGAAGGCCUUUUGGUUGUAAAGCACUUUAAGCGAGGAGGAGGCUCUUAAGGUUAAUACCCUUGAUGAGUGGACGUUACUCGCAGAAUAAGCACCGGCUAACUCUGUGCCAGCCGCCGCGGUAAGAC